UUUGCAGAUCCGCAGGCGCUCCACCGCCAUCGAUCCAUAUCUCGCUGCAUGCCACUCCACUUAUCACGGUUUUGAAGCUCUAUCGCUGUUGCUUGAUGGAAUUACGGAACCGUAGAUGAAUGGUGCCUCAUUGUUCAAUUGUGGAUGUACGGGAGAAAGGUAGCACUUGACUAUCACGUAGAGGCGUGAACAUAAUUUCAC